rnacentral:rRNA from 1 species
CCUACGGGUGGCAGCAGUAGGGAAUAUUGCUCAAUGGGGGAAACCCUGAAGCAGCAACGCCGCGUGGAGGAUGAAGGUUCUCGGAGUGUAAACUCCUUUUGUUAUAGAAGAUAAUGACGGUAUCUAACGAAUAAGCACCGGCUAAAGCCAUGCCAGAAGCCGCAGUAAUACGGAGGGUGCAAGCGUUACUCGGAAUCACUGGGCGUAAAGAGCGCGUAGGCGGGAUAGCAAGGCAGAUGUGAAAUCCUAUGGCUUAACCAUAGAACUGCAUUUGAAACUGUUAGUCUAGAGUAUGGGAGAGGUAGGUGGAAUUCUUGGUGUAGGGGUAAAAUGCGUAGAGAUCAAGAGGAAUACUCAUUGCGAAGGCGACCUGCUAGAACAUAACUGACGCUGAUGCGCGAAAGCGUGGGGAGCAAACAGGAUUAGAUACCCGGGUAGUC